UCAAUAAGCGGAGGAAAAGAAACYAACAAGGAUUCCCCUAGUAACGGCGAGUGAAGCGGGAAGAGCUCAAAUUUGUAAUCUGGCACUUUCAGUGUCCGAGUUGUAAUCUCUAGAAGUGUUUUCCGUGCCAUAUCGCAUAUAAGUCUGUUGGAACACAGCGUCACAGUGGUGAGAACCCCGUAUUUGAUGCGAAUGUUGGUGCUCUGUGAUACACUUUCAAAGAGUCGAGUUGUUUGGGAAUGCAGCUCAAAAUGGGUGGUAAAUUCCAUCUAAAGCUAAAUAUUGGCGAAAGACCGAUAGCGAACAAGUACCGUGAGGGAAAGAUGAAAAGCACUUUGGAAAGAGAGUUAAAAGUACGUGAAAUUGUUGGAAGGGAAACGCUUGCAGUCAGACUUGCUUUGUGGAGCUCGCUUCAUUUGGCAGGCCAGCAUCAGUUUUCGUUGGUACAAAAGGGUAGGGAGAACGUGGCAGCUCCGGCUGUGUUAUAGCUCCUUACUGGAUGUAUCUCUGGGGACUGAGGAACGCAGUGUGCUUUUUGCGCAGGUCUCGACCUGUUCACACUUAGGAUGCUGGUAGAAUGGCUGURAACGACCCGUCUUGAAACAC
rnacentral:rRNA from 1 species